GACGAACGCUGGCGGCGUGCUUAACACAUGCAAGUCGAACGAAGAGCGAUGGAAGCUUGCUUCUAUCAAUCUUAGUGGCGAACGGGUGAGUAACGCGUAAUCAACCUGCCCUUCAGAGGGGGACAACAGUUGGAAACGACUGCUAAUACCGCAUACGAUCUAAUCUCGGCAUCGAGGAUAGAUGAAAGGUGGCCUCUAUAUGUAAGCUAUCACUGAAGGAGGGGAUUGCGUCUGAUUAGCUAGUUGGAGGGGUAACGGCCCACCAAGGCGAUGAUCAGUAGCCGGUCUGAGAGGAUGAACGGCCACAUUGGGACUGAGACACGGCCCAGACUCCUACGGGAGGCAGCAGUGGGGAAUCUUCCGCAAUGGACGAAAGUCUGACGGAGCAACGCCGCGUGAGUGAUGACGGCCUUCGGGUUGUAAAGCUCUGUUAAUCGGGACGAAAGGCCUUCUUGCGAAUAGUGAGAAGGAUUGACGGUACCGGAAUAGAAAGCCACGGCUAACUACGUGCCAGCAGCCGCGGUAAUACGUAGGUGGCAAGCGUUGUCCGGAAUUAUUGGGCGUAAAGCGCGCGCAGGCGGAUAGGUCAGUCUGUCUUAAAAGUUCGGGGCU
rnacentral:rRNA from 1 species